rnacentral:rRNA from 1 species
AUUGAACGCUGGCGGCAGGCUUAACACAUGCAAGUCGAGCGGGGUGAUGGUGCUUGCACUAUCACUUAGCGGCGGACGGGUGAGUAAUGCUUAGGAAUCUGCCUAUUAGUGGGGGACAACAUCUCGAAAGGGAUGCUAAUACCGCAUACGUCCUACGGGAGAAAGCAGGGGAUCACUUGUGAUCUUGCGCUAAUAGAUGAGCAUAAGUUGACUUAGCUUGUUGGUGGGGUAAAGGCCUACCAAGUCGACGAUCUGUAGCGGGUCUGAGAGGAUGAUCCGCCACACUGGGACUGAGACACGGCCCAGACUCCUACGGGAGGCAGCAGUGGGGAAUAUUGGACAAUGGGGGGAACCCUGAUCCAGCCAUGCCGCGUGUGUGAAGAAGGCCUUAUGGUUGUAAAGCACUUUAAGCGAGGAGGAGGCUCUUUUGGUUAAUACCCAAGAUGAGUGGACGUUACUCGCAGAAUAAGCACCGGCUAACUCUGUGCCAGCCGCCGCCGUAA